UAGAGUUUGAUCAUGGCUCAGGACGAACGCUGGCGGCGUGCUUAACACAUGCAAGUCGGACGGUUAGUAGGUGAAAGCUUGCUGGAUCCUACUGAUAGUGGCGGACGGGUGGGUAACACGUGAGAACCUGACCCAAGCAGGGGGACAACUGCUGGAAACGGCAGCUAAUACCCCAUAGGCGGGAGACCGUUAAAGGAGCGAUCCGGCUUGGGAGGGGCUCGCGGCCUAUCAGCUAGUAGGUGUGGUAAUGGCGCACCUAGGCGAUGACGGGUAGCCGGCCUGAGAGGGUGUACGGCCACACUGGAACUGAGAUACGGUCCAGACUCCUACGGGAGGCAGCAGUGGGGAAUAUUGGGCAAUGGGGGCAACCCUGACCCAGCGACGCCGCGUGGGGGAAGAAGUCCUUCGGGAUGUAAACCUCUGUUGUGUGGGAAGAAGGAUGUGACGGUACCACACGAGGAAGCCCCGGCAAACUACGUGCCAGCCGCCGCGGUAAUUCA
rnacentral:rRNA from 1 species